rnacentral:rRNA from 1 species
CCCAGUGAACUUUCCAGAGAUGGAUUGGUGCAUUUCGGGAAUUAUGAGACAGGUGCUGCAUGGCUGUCGUCAGCUUGUGUUGUGAAAUGUUGGGUUAAGUCCCGCAACGAGCGCAACCCUUAUCCUUUGUUCCAGCGGUCCGACCGGGAACUCAAAGGAGACUGCCAGUGAUAAACUGGAGGAAGGUGGGGAUGACGUCAAGUCAUCAUGGCCCUUACGAGUAGGGCUACACACGUGCUUCAAUGGCGCAUACAUAGAGAAGCGAACUCGCGAGAGCAAGCGGACCUCAUAAGGUGCGUCGUAGUCCGGAUUGGAGUCUGCAACUCGACUCCAUGAAGUCGGAAUCGCUAGUAAUCGUAGAUCAGAAUGCUACGGUGAAUACGUUCCCGGGCCUUGUACACACCGCCCGUCACACCAUGGGAGUGGGUGCAAAAGAAGUAGGUAGCUUAACCUUCGGGAGGGCGCUUACCACUUUUGGUUCGUUAGUGGGGUGAAGUCGUAACAAGGUAACCAAUCGAAUUCCCGCGGCCGGCCUGGCGGCCCGGAAGGCAUUGGAACG